AGGAUGAACGCUGGCGGCGUGCCUAAUACAUGCAAGUCGAGCGGUAAGGCCACUUCGGUGGUACACGAGCGGCGGACGGCUGAGUAACACGUAGGAACGUACCCAAAGUGAGGCAUAAGCACCAGAAAUGGUGUCUAAUACCGCAUGUGAUCUUCGGAUUAAAGCUUCGGCGCUUUGGGAACGGCCUGCGCAUGAUUAGCUUGUUGGUGAGGUAAUAGCCCACCAAGGCGACGAUCAUUAGCUGGUCUGAGAGGAUGACCAGCCAGACUGGGACUGAGAACGGCCCAGACUCCUACGGGAGGCAGCAGUAGGGAAUUUUCCACAAUGGGC
rnacentral:rRNA from 1 species